GCGCUCAUCGUUUAAUGGAUAGGACGCGGGAUUGCGGAUCCCGUAAUCGAGGUUCGAUUCCUCGUGAGCGCA
rnacentral:tRNA from 1 species